rnacentral:ncRNA from 1 species
ACAGGGAUAAAAACACGUCCCGGUAGGUAGUCCGGGAGCGGGGGAGUCCCUCGUCAGUAACCUGCCUCCUUUGGUUGUCCCUUCCCUGU